CCCACAAGCGUUCUAAAACCCUAGCUCCGGGGAAAUCCCGAUCCCCUUCUCCGCCUUCUCUUUCUCCUCUCCGGCCAUGGCGAAGGGGAAAAUGAAGCCUCAUCUCGCGUCUUUCACCCUCUACGGCGACUAUCUCGCUGUUCUUUCCCCGGACGGAACCGUUAAGUUUAUUAUUUCUCUAUUUCUUGUGUUUCUACGACUCGUAACUCUGAUUGUCUGUUUUCCAUAAUCUGGAUAUUCAGUGGCUGUUCUUCGAUGUAAUUUUUAUGCAUUUGGGAGAUGAAAAGUCUCUUGUUGUUUUGGCUUCAGAUUCUUACAAUCAGGUUGUAUAGCCAAUUUCAUUCGACGAGUAUCUCUAUUCAUCAAUCUUUACGUUCUGGAAUGUGAAAUUGAAAUUAAUUCCAGGAAAUAUAUCAUAUUCCGAUCAUUUUAGUUGUUGGCUCCUUGUUGGGUAUGUAAGUGAUCUCUGGAAUGAGUUAUUUCUGUGGCAAUGGCUAAUUGCAAGUAGCAAUUAGCUCAGUUUGGCUUACGUUACAUGACAUUAUACAGCCAGCUCCACAGAAUAAGGUAGGUUAUGGAGAAAUGCUGAGACGGGCGGGAGGAUCAAUCAGGAUUCGUGCCCAGUUUCUGUGAUUAGGGUUUCUAAAUUAUCUUGGCUGUUGCUUUAGGUCUGGAGUACUGCAGAUGGAAGCUUAUUAGCUAAAUGUCAGCAUUCGGAUGGGUAGCCUGGUAUAAGCAGUUCAUGCAUAGCUAAAUCUUUGUUUGCAAGAUGGUUUUCUCAUUUACGUCAGUGUUGUUUAUUUUCUUGUCUGGUAUAGCAUAAGAAGGUGCUUACUAGCUCUCGUGCAGAGGAUGGUAGCAUCUUUUUCAUGAUCUUAAUGACGGAUAAGAAUCUAAUUGCAAUAGCUUCCAGGAAGUUUAGGAUCUUAGAACUAGAAAACGGAAAGAGCUCGUGAAAUUUCCAAAUGAUGUGGUGAGUGCGGCACUCAGAAUGCCAUACCUACUCAUAACCUCUGUGGUUAAACAUUAAGUUCCAAGUUUAUAUUUUCUGAAUUCUUUAGGGUCCCAUAAAGGGGAUAAUGGGAAGACUGUGAUUACAUCAGAGAUUGGACAACCGUGCACAAGUGUGCAGAAGCACCGAAGCAGUACCGAUGAGCAAGACAGUCCUGUUGUACUUGCCAAUCCCCAUUCUGGUCCAGCAAAUCCAUUUUUGCCGCCAAGUUGCUUUCUGUAGAAGCAGACAAGCCAGUUGUGCCCGUAGUGGCUUAUGGUUCUGUGGAUUCUUCCAACUUCAGCCACGUUGAGAUCAGUACAACUGGAGGUGAGGUAGCUGAUGCUCCAGCCCAUGAUAAGAGUACGAACAGGAAGCAACCCGAGUCUGAUCCCAGUUUACCCGCUACAAGGGUGCUGCGAGAUUCUGUUUCCGGUCUUGUCUGACAUAGGCCUUGACGAAGUUGCAGCUGGAGUUCUUGUCAGUGAUGAUCCUGACGAACCAACCAUGGGGGAGAAACUCGAGAAUCUUGAUUUGUUAGAGAAUGAAAAGCGUGAUAACCGGGAGCCUCUAGAGGCUUCCCUUCCAGACGUAGCGCCGACCGCAGCCUCAGUCAAUGUUCUUCCAGACGGGAUGGCACGUACUAUCAAGAGUUAAGUUGGUCACGUGCUCACCAUGUGAAGACAAGUCAACUGGAGAACAUAUCCUGCAAUCUACGCCGACACUACCUAUACAAAAGCAAAGUCUACAAUUGCUUUUACAUGGAGAGGUACCAAAAGAUGCAACGACCUGCGACACAUUAAUGUUGGGAUUGAGAACUAAUUGAUUACUUUUUCUUUACUUACACAAGUGUAUGUAUACACAGCUUAAUAUAUAUGUUUUGCAAGGCAGAGUCUUUACAUGGUUAUGUAAGAGAAACAUCUGAAUGAAAAGGGUUUCCGCUUGAGUUGUCUU